CCUACGGGGGGCAGCAGUGGGGAAUAUUGCACAAUGGGGGAAACCCUGAUGCAGCGACGCCGCGUGGGUGAAGAAGCGCCUCGGCGCGUAAAGCCCUUUCAGCAGGGAAGAAAAUGACGGUACCUGAAGAAGAAGCCCCGGCUAACUACGUGCCAGCAGCCGCGGUAAUACGUAGGGGGCAAGCGUUAUCCGGAUUUACUGGGUGUAAAGGGGGCGCAGACGGCGAUGCAAGCCAGGUGUGAAAGCCCGGGGCCCAACCCCGGGACUGCUCUUGAAACUGCGUGGCUAGAGUGCAGGAGGGGCAGGCGGAAUUCCUGGUGUAGCGGUGAAAUGCGUAGAUAUCAGGAGGAACACCGGUGGCGAAGGCGGCCUGCUGGACUGCAACUGACGUUGAGGCACGAAAGCGUGGGGAGCAAACAGGAUUAGAUACCCUUGUAGUC
rnacentral:rRNA from 1 species